rnacentral:rRNA from 1 species
UUCUGGGAAGACCACCCUGAAUGCACAUGGUCUCAUUCAAUCUCAGAAUCUCAGCAGGGUUGGGCCUGAGGAGCACUUGAAUGGGACCAGGAAGGCUCCCGCCCAUCUUUGCAUUCGGGCCACUGAGGAAU